AGAGAAAAGCUCGCUCUCUUCCGUGAAACUAAACUAGUUUCCUGCCAGCCCUUCCUUGCUGCUCCCAGAAUACGUCCCUUGUGCCUCUCCGUUCAAAUGCCCGCGGAGAGGAUUUUCAUAGUAAUGUGGCCUGUCUUCACGCUCCAUUUAUCAUACUCCGAUUGAUGUAUGCAAUCUUGGUUGAACAGACAGGUAAUGGAGUAAACAUAUAACGUGUUGAAUGCCUAAGCAACACAUCUGAAACAAACAGUGGUCAAGAGGUACUGCUGAAGGUGGCUUCUGAAAACUCACUCAUUUGCCACUGGGAAGGGAGAUGAUUCAGAGCGUUUCAGUGGUGGUCUCUAAGGCAGGGGCACCUAUGAGAGCUACUCUACAAGUUGGACUAGGAAGACUGAAAAGUAGAAGAGGCCCCUUAGAGGUAAUGUGACCCAUGAAGUGAAGGCUGCUACAGAAACAUCUGGCAGGAGAAGAGAGUUCUUGCAGCAGCUUGCAAUGGACCCUGGAGGCCCCACAGCAGGUCCGAAACAUGAAGUGAUCCUGGAAGUGAUUGUUAAAUCACUUGGAAGAUCCGUUUUCUGAUAAUGGUCCAGCACGGUCGGCAAACCUGUGAUUUGCAUAUGAAUACCCAAACUGCAUAAGCAAAAUUGUCAGAGCCAGCCGGAAGAAAGAAAACCUAAGCACCUGGCAUUCUGAGAAAUCCUUUGCUUGUGUUCUCAGAUCACUUUUCUGUGUCAUUGAUAGGACUUGAGCUGAUUUGACAGAAACUCCUGUAAAUGGUGUUUUUACCACACGAACAGAGAACUGCAGAAAUUACAAAGUUUCUUCUCCAACAAAAACUUAAAGCAUGGUUAUACCCCAAAUUAGAUCACCUUGUUCAGGGCCAUGACCAAGUAAAAUUUUAAAACGUCCGACAGACAGAGAUCCCGCCAUUUCUUUGUGCAACCUCUCCCGUGGCACAGGCUUAUCAAGAGAAAUA